CCUACGGGAGGCAGCAGUGGGGAAUUUUGGACAAUGGGCGCAAGCCUGAUCCAGCAAUGCCGCGUGCAGGAUGAAGGCCUUCGGGUUGUAAACUGCUUUUGUACGGAACGAAACGGUGAGCUCUAAUAAAGUUUGCUAAUGACGGUACCGUAAGAAUAAGCACCGGCUAACUACGUGCCAGCAGCCGCGGUAAUACGUAGGGUGCGAGCGUUAAUCGGAAUUACUGGGCGUAAAGCGUGCGCAGGCGGUUAUAUAAGACAGAUGUGAAAUCCCCGGGCUCAACCUGGGACCUGCAUUUGUGACUGUAUAGCUAGAGUACGGUAGAGGGGGAUGGAAUUCCGCGUGUAGCAGUGAAAUGCGUAGAUAUGCGGAGGAACACCGAUGGCGAAGGCAAUCCCCUGGACCUGUACUGACGCUCAUGCACGAAAGCGUGGGGAGCAAACAGGAUUAGAUACCCUGGUAGUCCACGCCCUAAACGAUGUCAACUGGUUGUUGGGUCUUCACUGACUCAGUAACGAAGCUAACGCGUGAAGUUGACCGCCUGGGGUGGUACGGCCGCGAGUAGUUAACGUUACAANAGAGUUGACGGCGUUGAGACGNGCCGACGGACGACGACGAGGGAGGAGG
rnacentral:rRNA from 1 species